rnacentral:rRNA from 1 species
AGUGAACGCUGGCGGUAUGCCUAGCACAUGCCAGUCGAACGGCAGCACAGUAAGAGCUUGCUCUUACGGGUGGCGAGUGGCGGACGGGUGAGGAAUACAUCGGAAUCUACUUUUUCGUGGGGGAUAACGUAGGGAAACUUACGCUAAUACCGCAUACGACCUACGGGUGAAAGCAGGGGAUCUUCGGACCUUGCGCGACUGAAUGAGCCGAUGUCGGAUUAGCUAGUUGGCGGGGUAAAGGCCCACCAAGGCGACGAUCCGUAGCUGGUCUGAGAGGAUGAUCAGCCACACUGGAACUGAGACACGGUCCAGACUCCUACGGGAGGCAGCAGUGGGGAAUAUUGGACAAUGGGCGCAAGCCUGAUCCAGCAAUACCGCGUGGGUGAAGAAGGCCUUCGGGUUGUAAAGCCCUUUUGUUGGGAAAGAAAAGCAGCAGGUUAAUACCCCGCUGUUCUGACGGUACCCAAAGAAUAAGCACCGGCUAACUUCGUG